UGGGGAAUAUUGCACAAUGGGCGCAAGCCUGAUGCAGCCAUGCCGCGUGUAUGAAGAAGGCCUUCGGGUUGUAAAGUACUUUCAGCGGGGAGGAAGGGAGUAAAGUUAAUACCUUUGCUCAUUGACGUUACCCGCAGAAGAAGCACCGGCUAACUUCGUGCCAGCAGCCGCGGUAAUACGGAGGGUGCAAGCGUUAAUCGGAAUUACUGGGCGUAAAGCGCACGCAGGCGGUUUGUUAAGUCAGAUGUGAAAUCCCCGGGCUCAACCUGGGAACUACAUCUGAUACUGGCUAGCUUGAGUCUCGUAGAGGGGGGUAGAAUUCCAGGUGUAGCGGUGAAAUGCGUAGAGAUCUGGAGGAAUACCGGUGGCGAAGGCGGCCCCCUGGACGAAGACUGACGCUCAGGUGCGAAAGCGUGGGGAGCAAACAGG
rnacentral:rRNA from 1 species